ACACUCACCACUUUGAUUCCAACAGCGAAGUCGAAGUCGUGGUCAGGAGUAAGACUGAGCUGGGUAGAGAUAGUAAGGUAAGACUUUGAAGCUGCUGUACUUUUAUCAAUUCAGUCUGAAAAACAGUCUCUGUGGUUAAGCCCAUUAAAUCUCUUGUGCUUUCAUAGCAGCUUGGCUAAAGGUUAUUACUAUGAAGGCUGGAGGGAGAGUGGGAGAUAACUUCGACCAGAGAGCUCUCACUGAAAUGGGUUCAAAGGAGUUACUCAUCUUCUAUUCCCUUUAGCGGAACCUCAUAAUCGGAUAGCACUUACUCUGUGCUUUGUUAAAAAUAUAGCAUACAGGCUGGGCACAGUGGCUCACGCUUGUAAUCCCAGCACUUUGGGAGGCCGAGGUGGGCAGAUCAUCUGAGGUCAGGAGUUCAAGACAAGCCUGACCAACAUGGAGAAACCCCGUCUCUACUAAAAAUACAAAAUUAGCCAGGCGUGACGGCACAUGCCUGUAAUCUCAGCUACUCUGGAGGCUGAGGCAGGAGAAUCGCUUGAACCUGGGAGGCGGAGGUUGCGGUGAGCCAAGAUCACACCAUUGCACUCCAGCCUGGACAACAAGAGCAAAACUCCGUCUAAAAAAAAAAAUGUAGCAUACAAUGAAACUACCAAUAUCAAGUGCUAGCAAGGAUUUGGAGCACUUGAUAUUUUUAAGAAUUUUCUUACAUUGCUGACGGGAAUGCAAAAUAGUACAGCCACUCUGGAAAACAAUUUGGCAGUGUGAAAGGAAAUUAAAUCUUGGGAUCCCAAACUCAUUAAGCCAAAGGGAAAAGUCAAGCUGGGAACUGGGUCACACAAACCUGCUUCCCCAUUUUUGGUUCCUAAAUAAGAUGGCUACAAGAUGAAAAGCUACAAGCUUCCCCCAUAUUUUGCCCACAAGGAAAUUCCUUGUGAGCUGCAAGAUCUUCUAAGGUGUUUCUGUUAAAAUUUCACCAUGGCAAUGUAAACUGAUCCUUAUCUUUAUGGAUGCUGUCACCCCUGGCCCACCAGACACAAAUGCAUAUCAGAUUGUUCUCCUGGCCCAUUUUCGUCUAUGUUAUCUUAUGGAAAAUGCAGAUUCCCAGCCGGGCGUGAUGGCUCACACCUGUAAUCCCAUCACUUUGGAAGGCGGAGGCUGGCGGAUCACGAGGUCAGGAGUUUGAGACCAGCUUGG
rnacentral:lncRNA from 1 species